ensembl:lncRNA
UUCAAAUCUACACAAGUGCCAAAGGAGAAGGGAUUAGGGUUUAUUCUGGACAGGGCCUAACUAUACUAGCUCAAUAAGAAAAUGCCCUAGAGAUAUUCCUUAUUGCGGCAGUGGUUAAGGUGUUUGCCCUUGGUGCUGAUGGCCUAGACUUGGUAGACCUGCUAGGGGAGUCACCCUACUCUAUAGGUCUUCACGGAUCCACCUGUGUCCCGUGGUCUGGGCCGGUUCUGAUAUGAUUAUCUCGGGUAUGUGCGAUUGUAACUGACUUGUCUGGAAGUGCCCGUACAUAUCCCAACGCGACUGCUGCAGUAUAGAGCGAGAGAGAUACAUUGUAUAAUUUAAGCUGCUGCUCUUGCUUUUCAUGACAGUGUAGCGUGGCGUGUGUAACUUGUUGUUGUUGGCCUAUAGUAAGUCAUCAAAGCGGUAAUAGGCUACAGUCAUAGAGUCUCCACGUGUGGCAAAAGUUAAGAGAUAUCUAAUCAAUGGAAGAUGGAAUUAAAAUGACGGAAUUAAAUGUUAAAAGAGAAGAAUAGGCUACAACGACCAAAAGUCAAUAGAUGGGACUUUCCACACCUGAUUUACUAGUAAACAGUGGAAAGGGUCAGAGUAGCAUCCAAAACAAG